rnacentral:lncRNA from 1 species
GCUUGCCUGGGAUAACACUAAGUGUUGUUAGAUGAUGACCACUUGGUGAGCAUCUUCCAUCCUGGCACUUGAUCAGAUCAUCCAUUCCUCUGGUUUAUUCGUCAGCAUCACUUUGAGGUUAAUCCAACACUUUUCCUCCACAUCGUGCGAUCAAAUAACGUACCUAAUUGAUAUGCAUAAUGCAUAUGAGUGAGAAUAAUUAUAAACAAUACAAGAUAAUAACACUAUGCCGAAGAGGGUAAUAUAUUGCUAGUAAGGCAUUACAACUCCUAGGCAAACACUAGCUACCUUUGAAUUAACAACGAUCAUGAUCCUCGAGCUAGGGGGACCUAAUUCAAAUAUUUGGAAAUCAUAACUAAACAUAUGCCUUAAGCUAAAGCAUAACAUUGAUAGGUUAUUACCCUUAGACUUGUCACUUUUUAACACUCAAAACUUGGAAAAGGUGAUAGAACAAGCAUCAAGAAAGCAGUACA